GAAGGUGGGGGUGUAUUGAAAAACAAGGAGGUGGACAGAGGUCUAGGGCCCGUCCGGCAUCCCUGAGGAGACUCACCUUGCUGGGCCUCGCCAGGACAUGUCGGACUUGGGACACCUCAGCUGGCCCAGCACCACCCUCGAGUUCAUCCCUUCCCAUGUGAACUGGACACCUCUGCUGGGCCAGGUGCGCGGAAGACACUGGGGAACACAGCCAGGCCCAGACAACAGCACUCACAACCCCAUGGCCGAGGACGUCAGCGAUAAUGCCGAACGGUGAAUGAGGGUAUUCAUUAACAUGAAUAAUAAAUCGGUACAAAUCGACCCUCCAAA